ensembl:misc_RNA 7SK 7SK RNA
GAAUGUGAGAGGUCCAUUGUUGCACCAUCGACACCCCACUGAUUGGCAGUAUGGAUGUUUGGUCUGCUUGGCUGGGCGAGUAUUCCCUUUCUCCCUCACUUUUUGGCACAUACUUGACAAAGAGGCUGAGUUGGUCAUGGGAAUGCAAGUUUCUGUCCUCUCAUCCUACAAUUUCCAAACAAGCUUUGAGAGAACAAAAAGGACAGUUUAAAUACCUUACAAUUACAGCACAUGCAUUUUUUGCCUUUGUGAGAUUGUAAGUGGU